rnacentral:rRNA from 1 species
GAUGAACGCUGGCGGCGUGCCUAAUACAUGCAAGUCGAGCGAACGGACGCGAAGCUUGCUUCUCUGAUGUUAGCGGCGGACGGGUGAGUAACACGUGGAUAACCUACCUAUAAGACUGGGAUAACUUCGGGAAACCGGAGCUAAUACCGGAUAAUAUUUUGAACCGCAUUGUUCAAAAGUGAAAGACGGUCUUGCUGUCACUUAUAGAUGGAUCCGCGCUGCAUUAGCUAGUUGGUAAGGUAACGGCUUACCAAGGCAACGAUGCAUAGCCGACCUGAGAGGGUGAUCGGCCACACUGGAACUGAGACACGGUCCAGACUCCUACGGGAGGCAGCAGUAGGGAAUCUUCCGCAAUGGGCGAAAGCCUGACGGAGCAACGCCGCGUGAGUGAUGAAGGUCUUCGGAUCGUAAAACUCUGUUAUUAGGGAAGAACAUAUGUGUAAGUAACUGUGCACAUCUUGACGGUACCUAAUCAGAAAGCCACGGCUAACUACGUG